AAGAAGGGCACUGCUACAUGUGCUAAAACGACUUCAAACAGACAGUAAAAACACCUGAAUAACCUGUGUUUGGCUAUGAUUUUGUCUGGAGAGCCCCUACACUCUUACAAGACGAUAAGCACUGUGUUUCUCAACAUUUUGACAGCUCAACAGAAAGAAACAGAAUGCCAGAAAUGAAGUGACGCUCUUCUUAAUGUUCCUGUCAGAUGAUACAAUAUGUAUGGCAGGUAAGCUAGCUCUAUAUCAAGAGGAACAGACAGAGAAUAAUAGCAGAAGGCGUAAAGCUGGAAGGACGUGUCUCUCUGUCUCCCUCCGUCAUCUGGACCCACCUGUCCGCAGUCGGAGCCGCUCAGAAGAUUUGCUGCCGGUCGGGGAAUUCGUGGCUGAGCGAUGCGUCAGGGCUUGUCAUAUAAAAUGUGAGUGCUUUCCCCUGAGUAAUUUAAUCACAGACUUUUAUGGAGGAAUCAGGCAGCACAGUGAGAGACAGAGUAAAAGGAUUGUAAUUGGACUUCUUUCAUUCAAAGUAAUAUAUGGAAUGUGUGGUAUAAUUACAGCGCAGAGUAAUGGCGUGUGGACGACUGAAAAGCUAACGCGUGGUGAUUGGUGUAACGUGUGUUCAUCAGGGGGAAUUUGCACCAUAUUGACCGGAGACUUUUCCUUCAGUAGUAUUUGGUAUGACUUUAUCAUGUGGUUUUCACACACCCCACCUUGUAUGUGAUGCAGGUUAGAUGGACUGAGAGAAAACUCUCUGUUCUCAAUAAAUGAAACUUAGUAGAAAUGGUCGUUUCUGUGACUGAUGAGUAAUGUGUGUGGGUGAUAGUCUGAGGUCGACUCUACUUUCAUUAAAAAAGCUCUUGAAUAGUCUGGAAACUCUCUUACACAACCGGGCUGUUUGAAUAGACUAUCUUUGGUAACUUUCAUUUCACCAUCUAAAAGAUAAACCAGGUGAAAGAUCAACCAGUGAUUUCUCUCUUCUUCAACACAUAUUGAGUUGAUUCAAAUGAAAAAGUUAACUUAAAAUACCCCCCAAAAAAAUACAAGCCCAUAAAAUUUAACCUUUUCCUUUUUUACUUGACCUAUAUUUAACAAAGAAGGUCCUUGAUUUUAAAUCAGAUAAAGUGAUUCUGCAAAGUAGAGUCUUGAUGGGGUGAGCAGGACCCCUGACAUUUACAUGUUGUUCAAAAAAUCUAAUUUUUGAGUCAGUCGGACCUAAACUAGGGUGAUCCUAUUCUGAAUCCCGAAAAAGAGGACACUACUAUGCGGGGCAGAGUUGUGGAGUCGCGCAUAGUAAAUUUUGAGAAUUUUUCGGGUCGGGUUGAGUGUCUUUUACACGCCUCUAACUCAGAUAGUCCACGUGACACAAACUCAAAACUUCCAUACAAAACCACGGACAUUUGAAGGAUUCUAAAAACUCCCCCGGACAAGGCCAGACAGCCCCCAAAAAGAGGCCACGGUAUGGUCACCCUACCUAAACUGGACUUUUGAAAUGCAUGUAAACACACUAGCCUGACUGAAAUCCCACUAGAUUGAACUCCCUAAAGACGGAUACCUGACUAAUAAAACUGGGGUUAGAUUUUCUCUUGCAUAUACACCUCAAUCAGACUGAAACUGUUCAAGUGCUUCAUGGUCUAAAUGUCAGACCCAGAAGUUUAACAGCAUAAAUGCAAGGAAGACGAUUAGUGAACUAAAACUUGACAGAACAAAAAGGGAUGAAAGAAAAAGACAAAUCUGUCGUAUCAGAGCGAUUAGGUAGUCUGAGUUUUCAUUAUGUGAUGUUUAACCUGUUAGCCUUCUGCUGCCGUGUUUGUUGAUUGUUUUGGUAUGUGACUUGAUAGGCUAGGGUCUAGAAAAAGGGUGCAUUACCAACGACUGUUGUAGAAGCAGACAUACUUUUGUCAAUAAAUGUAUUCUUGUACGGUGCCUUUAAACUGGGGUGAAGGCAAUAGUCGAGUUAAACUAGUGUAACGAUGCAUGUUAACGAACUGGCUAAAGAUUUAGUUUGAAUGUUGUGUACCAGCCUGCCACAAAGUUUGUUUACAUCCAUUUAGGGCGCUAUCAGAAGCUAACAUUUUUGCCACAGUGUCAACAAGCACAUAUGAUAUACGCUAAACUUUUUACCACAGAUUGAUUUGAUACAAGCUGUGUGAUUGGUUGCUAAUGAGAAUUAAUUACCAUUGUCAGGGAGUUUAAACCAAUCAGAAUUAAGUAUUUAGCAUGAUCAGGUAAUAAGUCAGGAUGGUACACCACUACAAAGUUUCCAGAUUUUUGAAUAAAAGCUUUGUGAAAACUGAGGACUAUUUUUGCGACUGAGCAGGAAAAACGGACGGCGGUCAAACAAGGUGAACUUUUAAUACAACUCAAUAAAUCACUACAUCACUGCAUGCCAAGAUUGUUCUAGAUAUUGAAUCCUGAAUUCAGUCAGGAGGCUAAAAAACUAUGAUAGUCAAACUAAACAACGUCUCAAGCAAAACUCUCUAAACAGGAAAGCCUUCGUGACUCAUAAGGAGGUCAUAUCUAGGGGAGAGUUUUGGGUAGCUGAUUAACGAACAGGAUUUACAUAUUAGUAAAUACUGUUUAUGACUGUGUGUGUGUGUAGAUGUGUGUAACUGUAUGAAAAAAAGCUAAUCUGUUUUUUAAUAAAACUUUAUUUUAUGUAUAUUUGUUUGUUUCCUCCUGCUUUUUGAAACAAGAUACUCUCUCUAGUACUUUUUUAUCGUCUGCUGAUGGUGAAUAUUUUUCAUCUUUUUUCAUCUCUGCUUCAUUUCUACUUCAUUUUUGAAGCUUGUUUAAUUAAAAAAAAGACAGAUUAAAAAAAGGUCAUAGAAAUAUGAAGAGAAGGACCUUUACUAAAUUCAAUCUGGAAUAAUAGUUUUAACAAUUUUAAUGAAGCUUCAAAAACGUAAUAAUGCUGCGGUGCAUUCUUAAAUUCUGUGAUAAGUGCUUUGCCGAUUAAUCAUUUUCAAUCAUUUAUUCAUUAAAUUAUCAUAUUUUCAAAACUACAGUAAGGAGUUUCUUUUCUAAUUUCAUUUUUGAGCUUUUAUUGCUUUUAUUUGUGGAGGGCACACAAGUGGACAGAGCAAGAAAUUAGGAAAUCAAAUCAAAAAUUCCUCUCAGCAGCAUUAAGAAAAACUUGAAUAUUUAACCUCCCCCGAGUGUGUGGUUGUCUACCAAAAUUUGGCGUCAUACUUAUUGUAUUGCUGAUGACAGAAAAACAAUCAUUAACUGGAAACCAGCUGUACCUGAACUGUUUGGGAAUUGCCAAACUGUGUGGUACUUAUUCACACUACUUUGGGUGUUUCCAUUCUCACGAGACAACUCAUUUUUCUGUUUCCUUGUUCUUACACACCAACUCUGGGCAGCAUGUUUGUGUGUGGCUAAAACCACAAAGUUCACACUUACCAUGGUACAUUUAAAGCUCAAGGAUGCUAAAGCUAAAGGGUGCUAACUCAGCUUACAAUGAAUGUGUGGGCAUAAGAAUAAUGUAGAUUAAUGAAUGCUGGACUUGUGUGCAGACAUCCAUCCAUGAUUAAUUUUGGUUUAAGCAUGUUUGAUAUUCUGUUCAUUUGCUCUGUAAUUUUAGCCGUUAUAUGUAUGAAGGUGGCUUUAAAGUUUCUGAUAAUAUGAGUGUGAAUGUGUCAUGUAUCUUGCUACAAAAGCCUUUAUUCAAGUAAAAUCAGGUAUAAACAAAGACGUUGAAUCAAAAUCGAUAAAAACUUUUACUUUUGGACCAUUUUUGAAUGUCUUUUUGAUAGUGUCUGUUGGGGGUGGGAAUUAUCAGUGGCCCCACGAUACAAUAUUAUCAUGAUACUUGGGCCAUGAUACGAUAUUAUUGCGAUUUUUAACAUUUUGCAAUACAGUAUAUUGCGAUUUAUACCAAUUUUUCAACUGUUUAGCUAAUUUAGCAUUUGUCUUUAUUUUGUCUUAUUAUGCUGUAUUUUAUUUUCAUGUAGCACAUCUUGUAAACCUUUUUAUAUAUAUUUGUUGUACUAACUUUCUCCUGCUCUAUAAUGUCACCUUUGCCAACCUCUCUUGACAAAAAGUUGAUUUUUUUUUUCCAUUACAUUUGACUAAAUAUUAGCAAUUAAUUUGAAACAAUCAAUACUUGGUAAAUGAGACGAUAUGAUAUAUCACCAGACAAAACAUUGUGAUACUAUGCUGGAUCAAUUUUUUCUACCAUCCCUAGUCUUCGUAGAUGUUUUGUAACCUAAGGUGCAUCUGAAAGACCAAAAAAUUACCUCCUAAGUCCUUUCCUGUCCUCUUAUCCUCACCCCUGAUUGUUAAAGUGACUGGGUUAAGGGGAGAAGGAUAUUAAAAGUAAGGUAAAGGACCCUACAGCUCUCACACUCAGCUAAUAUUACUAAUGUCACGUAAAUCUGCUGCGUAGAAACUACAGCUUACUGCAAAUGAACUAUAAAAAGCGCUGUGUGCUAAGUGAGACAUGAACAGGUUUCUCCUGGUAAUGAGGUAGAAUUUCUGCCUUUAGCUGCAGAGACAGUCUGAAGAUCUGGGAAAACAUCUGAGAGGACGACUAUUCAAACAGACUUGUUUUAGCUUGUUUUAAUGUAAAAAUACUCUUUCCUCGAUGUUGGCGGCUUUAGGGGAGUUUUCUUAUGGUCUCAUGUGACCUCCGAGAUGUCCAUGUAGAUUCUCAUUUAUCCAGGUCAUGGUUUUCUUGAAGACUUAAAAAACAGGCAACUGGACAGUCCAGUUGCCUGUUUUUUAAGUCUUCAAGAUGACCUCUGAGAUGAACUCCAGACCUGAGCUCUAUACUGUAAGAUAAGACAAACUUUAUCCUUGAAGGGAAAUUCAGUAUAAUAUAAUAUAAUAUAAUAUAAUAUAAUACAAUAUACUGUAUAUACAUACAAGCUUGAGGUAUACAUUUGCCCUCGAAUUAGCAGAGUAAUGUAACCUGAUGACGGCGCCACCCAAACAUUCAAAACAUUAAGGUCUAGUCACACUUUCCAUCAUCUCGCUCAUCAUGAAACAUCACUGAAAUGAGAUCUAGGUUGGGUGCAUGUAUGCGUGUGUGUGUGUGUGUGUGUGUGUGUGUGUGUGUGUGUGUGUGUGUGUGUGUGUGUGUGUGUGUGUGUGAGUGUGUUGUUGAGAGACACAGGCAAAGAGAGAGAGAGAGAGAGCGAGCGAGGAGGAAGAGAAGAGGAGAGCAUUUCACAAUCCUCAGAUAAACUCAAUGUGACAAGAUGGUUACUUUCUCCCUCUGCUGUGACAGUUAAUUCUGGACUAGGAAAAAUGUCAAAAAUGUUUAGCUGCGCUUGAGCGGACUUAAUUACAGAGCCCAGGGCAACUCAGACUCAGGCUGCUAAUGGCCUUGACUUACAGAUAAAGCUCCAUUUACCAAGACUGUUUUUUUUUUCGCUACUGAUCUAAUUUACUUAAAAUCAAAUAUUUUGGCAGCAGCAAUUAGAUUUUCGGUGUGAAGGAUGGAAUUAAGCAGUCUGGUUUGUUUUACCUGCUUUAUGUUGAGUACAAUUAGACCUGUUUUUAUUAAACGGUGGUGUUUUGUGAGCUCGGCUCGAUGCAUGAGAAACAAAAACCACACUCUUGCACAAUUAUCUUCAACACAUCUUUGACAUUCUUGUUGUAAACUGUCACCACCUGACAUUUAGACCUUUUGACCACCUGAAAAACUGUCACUCUCUCUCUCUGCUCACCGUCUCUGUUUUUUUUUUUUUCCCCUGCGUGUAUAUCGCUCUCUCUUUCUCUUUGUCUCUUUCCUUCCUCUGAGGUCAGCAAACCACAGUGUCAGUGUGUUUUCAAGCCGCUCUUACAUGAAUUUGUGGUUGCAUCACUUCCCCGUCGCAGCACAGGUCCCUUCGGUGCUGCAGCGUCGAGAGCAACACGUAAAAAGUCUGUGAAACGGCGAUGAAGACAUCAGCAGCUGCAGCAGCACAGGCAGGGCCAGAGCCUCGUCGACCCGGGUUCCCAGAGAUCAGGACCUCGAGGCGGUCUGUGAAAUGAGUUGGAGUUGGAAAAUCACCACAGGGAUAUUCCACGCCCUGCUGCCAAUUUCACUAUCAUAAUCAACCUCGGCUUGUGGAAUGAUAUUAUGAGACCAGCUAUUUUUUUCGCUGACACUUUCAGUGUGCAUAGAUUUUGUGGUGCAGAAAGAUAAAAGAGCAGAUAAGAAAUGUGCGGGGGAGGAAUGUGGAUUGUACAAAAAAAAAAAAGAAAAAAAAGACAAGAGUAGUGCUGAAUUUUCCUUAUCUGAUGUGAAAUGUUCUUGUUUUAAUUUGUAAAUGAGUUUGAUGAGAUUGAAGCAGAGGCUUUUGUUUGAUUUAAUGAGUUAAGUGCAUUCAUAAGUGCUGACAUGGUGAAGCGAAAAAGUAAAGAGACAUAUGUUUGCCAAUCUGAUCAUUAGGAGGGUAAAAAAAUCCAAGAGGACAGAUUGAUCCCAGAUUUACUCAGAGUGUUUAAAGCCCACUAGUUUGAUAAUCGCCAAAUAAAGGGCGAAAAUUCACUCCCUUACUAGAAUUAAGACAUCCUUCUUUAACAUGUCCGUUAAACACGACUCUUCUACAGCAACCUCAUAUCCAUACAGAUGUAAUUACAUAACAUACUCUAUAAAUACGUUUUAAGAGACGUGGUUGUCUUGUAAAAAUAGUUCUGCACUGGAAAUGUAAAGUGGACGAUCCCACGCUCCCACGAUUCUUGGAGAUCUGAUGUUCGUUGUUAACCGCUUUUGAACGAGAACAAACCACCUGAGAGUAAACCUGUAACAUUAUCAGACAACAGCAUCCAUAUGUUUCUGCCAUUAAUACAUGAGACUCAAUACUCAUUUAUGCUACAUAUCUGAUACUGUCCUGUGAUGUUUUCUGGGGGUUCAGUUCCUCAUAUCCUCUCAUGUCUGUGCACUGAAGAAAAUCAACCCAGAAGUCCAUACAUUUCUACAGGAUACCAUAUAACAGGCCUGAAAACAUCCUAAUAUUGAGGCCAGGUCUCAUUAAGUUUGUGACUAUAGUGUCCAAAGUCCUGUGCAAAUAUGAAUGACACCUCUAGUCUCUAAUGCAAGAAAG
rnacentral:lncRNA from 1 species